CGCCAGAUAGCCCAGUUGGUAGAGCACCUGACUAGAGAUUCAGGGGGCCCGGGUUCGAAACCCGGUCUGGUCC
rnacentral:tRNA from 1 species